CAACCUACCUAUCAGAGGGGAAUAACCCGGCGAAAGUCGGACUAAUACCGCAUAAAACAGGGGCACCGCAUGGUGAUAUUUGUUAAAGAAAUUCGCUGAUAGAUGGGCAUGCGUUCCAUUAGGUAGUUGGUGAGGUAACGGCUCACCAAGCCGACGAUGGAUAGGGGAACUGAGAGGUUGGUCCCCCACACUGGUACUGAGACACGGACCAGACUCCUACGGGAGGCAGCAGUGAGGAAUAUUGGUCAAUGGGCGGGAGCCUGAACCAGCCAAGUCGCGUGAAGGAAGAAGGAUCUAUGGUUCGUAAACUUCUUUUGCAGGGGAAUAAAGUGCAGGACGUGUCCUGUUUUGUAUGUACCCUGAGAAUAAGGAUCGGCUAACUCCGUGCCAGCAGCCGCGGUAAUACGGAGGAUCCGAGCGUUAUCCGGAUUUAUUGGGUUUAAAGGGUGCGUAGGUGGUUUGAUAAGUCAGCGGUGAAAGUUUGCAGCUUAACUGUAAAAAUGCCGUUGAAACUGUCGGACUUGAGUGUAAAUGAGGUAGGCGGAAUGCGUGGUGUAGCGGUGAAAUGCAUAGAUAUCACGAAGAACUCCGAUUG
rnacentral:rRNA from 1 species